rnacentral:rRNA from 1 species
CAGUCGCCGCGGGAAUACGUAGGGUGCAAGCGUUAAUCGGAAUUACUGGGCGUAAAGCGUGCGCAGGCGGUUAUAUAAGACAGAUGUGAAAUCCCCGGGCUCAACCUGGGAACUGCAUUUGUGACUGUAUAGCUAGAGUACGGCAGAGGGGGAUGGAAUUCCGCGUGUAGCAUUGAAAUGCGUAGAUAUGCGGAGGAACACCGAUGGCGAAGGCAAUCCCCUGGGCCUGUACUGACGCUCAUGCACGGAAGCGUGGGGAGCAAACAGGAUUAGAUACCCCCGUAGUCCCUGUCUCUUAUAC